GUAAAGCUCUCUUUCAUUUGGCAAAUAUUGAUCUCCAGCCUACCUGCCUAUAAGAAAUGCUGCUGGUUGAUAACACCUGACUUCCUUUCACAGAAUCCUCCUUGAGGCUUCUUGUUCACGGGUCCUCAGAGAUACAGAUGGGAUCAUGCAGACUGCUUCUUCCAACAGAGUACUUCAUUCAUACAUGUGAAGGAAGCAGGAGGAAGGAGGUAACCAAGAUAAAGAAACCGAACAAGUGACUUUAGAGGAAAUUGAGCUAAUUCUAAAAACAGAAGAGAUCUUAAAAGCAAAUUUUAUCAUCAGUAGAGAUUUGAUAGAGCUAUAGUGCUUUCAAAACCAAGAAUGGCCUGCAAAAGAAAAUGAGCAAGCUGAGAACAACAAAAACAAGAGCAAGGCCUGCACCUAACAGCAGGGGUGAGAGGAGAAGCUGAAGGUCAAAGGGGAAAUUCCUCCUGCUAGGACUUGUUUUUACAAGUUAAGCCAAUAUCCACAACAUCACCAAUGCUCCCUCUCCAUGGAGAGGACACAGUGAAAGACAAAAUUCAGAAGAGAGCUUGAUGGCUAUCCACAAUCUCAGUUCUGGAGGCUGGAAAUCCAAGAUCAGAUACCUGCGUAGUUGAGUGCUGGUGAAGACCCUCUUCCGGGUUUCAGACUGCCCACCUUCCUGUGUCCACGCAUGGCGGAAGGGCUGCAAGCAAUGGAAAUCCAGCCUCAUAGGAAUCUGAGGAGGCAACAUGUGGAUGAAAACGCUGUCUUCUCUUCCUUAAAUGGGAAUUCCAUUCAAGGGAAAAACUCUUUCACCAUUGGAUUAGAAUGACCAUGUGGUUUGUGUUUGUGUCAGAGCCUCUUGGCUGAAUUCUGAAAACCUCUUUAAAACUCAGUAAAUCACACACUCACAUCUGUAGCAAAGUUGUAGUAAUACCUUUAAAAAAAAAUCUAUAAACUCACAUACUUCCCUGUACAUGUUCAUCUGAAUAAAUUAUCAUUUGAGAAGGCAUUUCAUUCAGAUUCUGUGAUUCAGACUUCCAAAUCAUUCAACCUGAAUGCUCAAAAUGUGUUUCCCAGAUGGGCAAAGUUGAGCUCAAGUUCAGAUUAGUUGUUGCCAAAACACUCAAUCUACAAAGUAUAUUGGAAUAUUCAGUCCUUUAGUCAAAAAGUCAUUUGGCUAAAAUGUAAAAUUGACUUUAACAUUUGCACAAUGAACUUCUUGAAGAGGAUAGAACAUCCAUGACAUGGAAGUAGCAGUCCAUUUGAAAGAUGCUUGGAUGAAUCCACACAAUAUAGAUUAGAUUAUCCGUAUUAAUGAAACUUUCAAGAUGGGGAUUGUGGCAUUACAGACACACUGUUCAUUUUCACUCCUCUCUUUAUUUUUUCUUGCUGUUUUCUCUGUCUAGGAGGCUCUUAUUUCUGUAUGGCAAACUCCCACUCAUUCUUCAAAACAGUUUGAAUGUCAUUUUAUCUGUGAAGCCUACCUCUGACAGAAUGAGUUUACCUCCUCUGUUUCCUUAGUCUUUUAAUUCAUCUCACUUUCUGAAUUUUCACAUUUUAGUAUUAGAUAGAUAGAUGAUAAAUACAUAGGUAGAUGUUGAGGUGUGUGUGUGAGUGUGUGUGUAUCAACACAAGUAGACUACACUGCCUGGAGGGCAGACAUUGUGCCUUAUUUGUUUAUGUAUUUCUAGUUCUUGAUGCAAAAUAUUUCACAUAACAGAUUUAAUAAUCUAUUAACCUAUUGUAAUCUAAUCUAUUAUAAUCUAUUAAUCUAAUAAUCUAAUAAUCUAUUGAAUUAAAUUAAAAGUAAUUUGAUUAUGUUGAUAUUAAAGUUCCAUUAUACCGUCAGGAAAUCAUUUAAAGAUAUUAUGUAAUUAAUGUUAAAUAUAUGUUAAUCUUAGCACAUGUAAUAAGUUAUGAAAGUAUUUUGAAAUGACAGGGUGUCAUGAUUAAACAAUACAGAUAUUUUAUCAGUUUGACAGAUUUUUCUCUAUAAUGAAUGCACAACUUUGGUCUGAUUUAUCACCAUUUCCACAUAAAUCAUGAAAAUACUUUUGUAAAUCUUGAUCCGUUUUAAAGCGUUUGGAUAUCCAUUAUCUUAUUUGAUUGAAUUGACUCAAUAUCCACAACUAGAUUGUGUGACAGUUUGAGCAAAUGUCAUUGUCCCAAUAUAUAAAUCUAUAAUAUAUAAAUCUAAAAUCAACUAACUUUCCCAAAGUUGCAACACAGACUAGUGGCAAAGUCAGAGUUUCACUCUGUGCUCUCU
rnacentral:lncRNA from 1 species